GACGAACGCUGGCGGCGCGCCUAACACAUGCAAGUCGAGCGAGAACCAUUCCGUUCGGGAAUGGGGACAGCGGCGAACGGGUGAGUAACACGUGGGUAAUCUACCCUCGGUUCUGGGAUAGCCCGGGAACCCGGAUUAAUACCGGAUAGCCUCUUGAGCCUUCGGGUUCUUGAGAAAGGUAGCUUCGGUCCUCCGACGUGUAGGAUGAGCCCGCGGCGGAUUAGCUUGUU
rnacentral:rRNA from 1 species